GACGAACGCUGGCGGCGUGCUUAACACAUGCAAGUCGAACGGAAAGGCCCUGCUUUUGGGGGGUGCCCGAGUGGCGAACGGGUGAGUAACACGUGAGUAACCUGCCCAUGACUUUGGGAUAACUUCAGGAAACUGGGGAUAAUACCGGCUAGGAGCUCCUGCUGCAUGGUGGGGGUUGGAACGCUUCGGCGGUCGGGGCUGGACGCCCGGGUUAUCAGCUUGUUGGGGGGGUAGUGGCUAACCAAGGCUUUGACGGGUGGCCGGCCUGAGAGGGUAGCCGGCCACAUCGGGACUGAGGGACGGCCCAGACUCGUACGGGAGGCAGCAGUGGGGAAUAUUGCACAAGGGUCGCAAGCCUGAUGCAGCACCGCCGCGUGCGGGAAGCCUGCCUUCGGUUUGUAAACCGCUUUCGCCUAUUACGAAGCGUUAGUGACGUUACUGGGUAAAGAAGCACCGGCUAACUACGUG
rnacentral:rRNA from 1 species